AAGCCAUAUUUUCAGGGACUCCCCCUCUCCCUUCUCCCCGAGUCCUGCAUGCACCUGUGUUCACACACACUUCACAUGGCUACCCAACUGCAGGCCAGGACACAUGUGCCUCUGUGUGCCAGCUACACGUUCACAGGACUUGCAGCACUGUCCUUUAUCCCGCUGACAUCCUGCCUGCUCCCGGAGAGCCCACAAAGUGCACAGCUGUGCACACAGUGGAAGGGCUUUCUCCAUUCCUCACCACCGGAGGACGCUCCCUGUCACCCAGCUGUGGUAGUGGCCAUGGCUGAGGCUUCAGCAGUACACAUGUCUGAGGGACAGAUUCAAGGAUGGCCCUAAGUAGCCACUCAGGUGUGUGUAAAAUCCAGCUGCCCAAACCCAAGUUCCUUGAGGAAGAGUUCAGAGCAUCGGCUGAGGCAGUGAGGACAAACAAGAGCUUCGAGCUUUCUUGGUGUCGGACACAGCUCGUUCCACAUAGUCCACGGAAUGUUCCACAUUGUAUUCGAUGCGGUCAAUCAUCUCGCCCUGCAGACGGGGGAAUAUGAAUGAGGGUCGGCUGGAAAAGGCACCCUUGGAGCUCAUGGGGACCCCCAGACUGGUGCAGCCUGUACCUGGCUCUCCACCAGCAUGGCCAUGUCCACAAACAUGUCGUGAAGCUCUCGGA